rnacentral:rRNA from 1 species
GUUACCAAACUGUUGCCUCGGCGGGAUCUCUGCCCCGGGUGCGUCGCAGCCCCGGACCAAGGCGCCCGCCGGAGGACCAACCAAAACUCUUUUGUAUACCCCCUCGCGGGUUUUUAUAUCUGAGCCAUCUCGGCGCCUCUCGUAGGCGUUUCGAAAAUGAAUCAAAACUUUCAACAACGGAUCUCUUGGUUCUGGCAUCGAUGAAGAACGCAGCGAAAUGCGAUAAGUAAUGUGAAUUGCAGAAUUCAGUGAAUCAUCGAAUCUUUGAACGCACAUUGCGCCCGCCAGUAUUCUGGCGGGCAUGCCUGUCCGAGCGUCAUUUCAACCCUCGAACCCCUCCGGGGGGUCGGCGUUGGGGAUCGGCCCUUUACGGGGCCGGCCCCGAAAUACAGUGGCGGUCUCGCCGCAGCCUCUCCUGCGCAGUAGUUUGCACACUCGCAUCGGGAGCGCGGCGCGUCCAUUGCCGUAAAACACCCAACUUUCUGAAAUGUUGACCUCGGAUCAGGUAGGAAUACCCGCUGAACUUAAGC